GAUCAUUGGCUCAGGAUGAACGCUAGCUACAGGCUUAACACAUGCAAGUCGAGGGGCAUCAGGAAGAAAGCUUGCUUUCUUUGCUGGCGACCGGCGCACGGGUGAGUAACACGUAUCCAACCUGCCCUUUACUCGGGGAUAGCCUUUCGAAAGAAAGAUUAAUACCCGAUGGCAUAAUGAUUCCGCAUGGUUUCAUUAUUAAAGGAUUCCGGUAAAGGAUGGGGAUGCGUUCCAUUAGGUUGUUGGUGAGG
rnacentral:rRNA from 1 species